CCGCUGCAAAACCCGGGGCGCGAGCCCGGGCGGAGCGGCCGUCGGUGCAGAUCUUGGUGGUAGUAGCAAAUAUUCAAAUGAGAACUUUGAAGGCCGAAGAGGAGAAAGGUUCCAUGUGAACGGCACUUGUACAUGGGUAAGCCGAUCCUAAGGGACGGGGUAACCCCGGCAGAUAGCGCGAUCACGCGCAUCCCCCGAAAGGGAAUCGGGUUAAGAUUUCCCGAGCCGGGAUGUGGCGGUUG
rnacentral:ncRNA from 1 species